GGGGUAAUAUAGUAAUUUUAUAUAAACGGGCGGGUUCGGGGACGAGUUCGGGGUGGGUACAAAUAUUUCCGUUACCCGCCCCAUCCCCGUGUUUUGAAAUCGGGGAAAACCCGAACCCGAAUCCAAACUCAGUCAAAUCGGUUUUUCCCCGUCAAACUCGAGGUGGGUUCGGGCGGGUACCCGCGGGUACGGGUUCUGUGAGAUUAUAAAUUUAUGCCAAAAAAUAAUAAUAAUAUUAACUAACCACUUCAAGAAAAUCAAAUAAAAGGGAAAACAUAGUGAGAAAUGAACAAAUAUGAGAGAUAAAAAAAUGACUUAAGAGGGCAUUUGACAUCACAGUGCCACUGUGUUUGUGGCGGCGAACCGGCGAUUGAUUGAUUCGAAUGGCAGUUGACAGAGAAACAUGGUGCUUCCCGGUGUUUCUAUUCUCUUCUUCACAUUCCCUCUCACUCUCCCUAAAUCCUCUUCUUCCACUUCCAUCAAUCCUUCAUCUCAAACCACCAUCAUGCUGGCAAAGGGGUGGCCAUGGAUAUUAUUAUUUCAGUGGCUGCUAAAAUUGCUGAAUUUAUGGUUGCGCCUAUUGGACGCGAAUUUGGCUACAUGUUCCACUACAAGGGAAACCUUAAAAGGAUGAAAACUAAUGUCCAAAAGCUGGAGGGCAUGAAAGACAGUGUGCAACACACUAUUGAUGAGGCUAAAAGGAAUGGAGAAGAGAUUGAAAAUAUUGUCCAGAAUUGGCUGAACAAAGUUGACAACGCUGUUGCUGAGGCAAAAAAACUUGCUGACACUGAAGACCAUAUAAAAGCUCUAUGUUCUAUGGGACACUUUCCCAAUCUGUGCACAAGACAACAGCUGAGCAGGAAAACCAAAAAGAUGAUACAAGAGAUUUCUGAUGUCCUAGCAGAAGGAAAAUUUUGUAGAAUUUCAUAUCGUGCUGCUUCUAAGGUCACAGUUACACCUUUUGGUAGAGGUUAUGAGGCCCUGAACUCCAGAACAUCAAUGCUGAAUGAGAUUAUGAUGGAAUUGAAGAAUCCCAACAUCUUCAUUAUUGGGGUGUAUGGGAUGGGUGGAGUGGGUAAGACAACACUAGUGAAAGAGUUAGCUUGGCAAACCGAGAAAGAUGUGUCAUUUGGAGCUGUAGUUAUGGUUACUAAUAUAACUGGUUCUCCAAAUGUGAAAAAUAUUCAAGGUCAAAUUGCUGAUGCUUUGGAUCUGAAAUUUAAUAAGAAGACAAAAGAAGGAAGAGCAAUGCAAUUACGUGAAAGGAUAAGCAAGGAGAAGAGUAUUCUUGUUAUUUUGGAUGAUAUCUGGGGUAGACUUGAUUUGGAAGAAGUGGGGAUUCCUUUUGGUAAUGAUCACAAAGGAUGCAAGUUGGUGGUGACAUCCAGAGAUCUCAAUGUGUUGAACCGUGAAAUGGGCACUCAAAAAGAAUUUAGACUUGAAGUUUUACUUGAGGAUGAUAGUUGGAAAUUAUUUGAGAAAAUGGCAGGUGAUGUUGUUCAAGAUUUCAAUAUAAAACCAAUUGCUAUAGAAGUGGCCAGACGUUGUGCUGGAUUACCCCUUUUGAUUGUUACAGUAGCAAAAGCUUUGAGAAAAAAAAGUUUCUUCGAUUGGAAAAGCACAUUAAAUGAGUUAGAGAGUUUUGAUCAAGAAGGGUUGCAUAAGAAAAUCUACUCUGCCUUGGAAUUUAGUUAUAGUUGCCUAGAAACUGAUGAACUAAAGUCACUGUUUUUAUUCAUUGGCUCAUUUGGACUAGAUUACAUCCAUACUGGAGGACUGUUUUUAUGUUAUUUCGGGUUGGGGUUAUACAGACACGCUCACACAUUGACAAAUGCAAGAACCAGAUACUACAAAUUAAUAAACGAUCUCAAGGCCUCUUCAUUGUUACUUGAGUCUGAACCUGAACGCAUUAGAAUUCAUGAUGUUGUUAGAGAUGUGGCUCAAUCAAUUGCGUCUACAACUCGACCAACCUAUAGCGUGCCAAGGUACACUUUGAUAAAACAAUUUCCAGAUAUGGAUCAGCUUCGAAAAUGCCAUCAGAUCAUUGUAUCUUGGUCUUAUAUUUACAAGGUUCCUGAGAAGCUGGAGUGCCCAGAGUUGAUGCUACUUCUGCUUCAGAAUGUAGGCGACUAUUUGAAAGUUCCUGAUGAAUUUUUCUCCGGGAUGAGAGAGCUAAAGGUUAUUGUGUUACAUGGAAUGAUGCUUACCCCUUCUCCACCACCAUCUCUUUGUCACUUGACAAAAAUCCAUACAUUGAUUCUUUCUGGAUGUGUGUUAGAAGACAUAUCAAUAGUUUCAGAGUUGAGAAGUUUAGAGAUUCUUAGGCUUGAAAGAUCUGAUAUUAAAGAGCUCCCAAAAGAAAUUGGACAACUAACUAAUCUUCGAAUGCUGAAUUUAACCAACUGCUCUGGACUGAUAUUCAUUCCUGCAAAUCUUAUUUCAAGCUUAAUUUCCUUGGAAGAGUUGUACUUGGGGAAUUGCUUUAUCCAAUGGCAUGUAAAGGGAAGCAAAGAUCAUAUGAACAAUGCAAGUCUAGAAGAGCUAAGGAAUUUGUCUCAUCUAACUGCUUUAGACAUAAUGAUUCAAGAUGCUUCAGAUUGGCCAAGGGACUUGCAGGUCUUCGAACAGCUUGAAAGUUACAACAUAUUUGUUGGUGAUAUGUGGAAAUGGUCAUUGGUAUGGUCUGUAAUUGAUUAUGAAUCUUCAAGAAUACUUAAGCUCUCAGACAGUAGGAGCUCAAGCAUUCUUUUGGAUCGUGGGUUUAACUUCUUGUUGAAAUCAGCUAAGGACAUGUGCCUUGCAAAAAUAUGUGUUAGAAAUGUUCUUCAUGAACUGAAUAGGGAAGGUUUCCCGCAAUUAAAGCAUUUGUGCAUUCAAGACAGUACUGAACUGCAGUACAUCGUUAACUCAAUGGGGUUGGUUCAUCCUUAUCCUGCUUUACCCAACUUAGAGACUUUGGCUCUUCAAAAUCUGUUUAAUCUGGAAGAAAUAUGUCAUGGGCCAAUUACAAUUCAAUCUUUUACCAAACUAAAAUCUUUUGAAGUCAAAGGUUGUGACAAGUUGAAGAAUCUGUUAUGUUCCUCCCUCGUUAGAAACCUUCCUCAACUUCUCGAAAUAAAAAUUUCUGAUUGCAAAAUGAUCACAGAAAUCAUAACUGUGCAAACAUCUGAGGGUGAUAAAGAAAUUGACAAGAUUAUGCUCCCCAAGUUGCGUUCUCUUGAACUUGAGCAUCUGCCUAGUCUCAUUAGUUUUUGUUCCAUGCCAUUGACAGUUGAUAAGUGUCUGAAAAAUUGUGGGGAGAAUGAUGAUGAUAAACAGUGCAUGCUUGUGGCACUAAUUGAUCAAAAGGUUGGGAUGCCGGCCCUUGAACUCUUGAAGCUGUCUAAUAUCAACUCUAGGAAAUUGUGGGAUGACAACCUUCCAGGUCAUUCUUGCAUUCAAAACUUGACGAGUUUGACAAUUGAUAAAUGUGGCAGCAUAGCUUAUGCAUUCUCAUCCGCUGUGGCGAGAGAACUUGUAAACCUGCAAUAUCUUCAGAUUAGUAAUUGCCAAAUGUUGGAAGACAUAUUUGUCUCAGAUGGAAAGUUGGUUAGUCUUCCUUCAUCUCAAAAACCGUUGUCUAAUGAUGAGGUUAUAUUUCCAAACUUGGAAACAUUGGUAAUCUCACACAUGGAACACUUGAAGUCAAUGUGGCACAAUCAACUAGCUCCAAAUUCCUUCUACAAACUGAAGCAGUUGAAAAUUAUAUUCUGCGAUAAAUUAUCAAAUGUAUUUCCAUCUCAUGUGCUUGAUAAAUUACAGAAUCUGGAGAUAGUGACUGUAACUGAUUGUCCUGCAUUGGAAGUUGUAUUUGAAACGAAAGAUCUAAAACCAGAUGGUGGUAGACAAACAAGGCUGGAAAUGCAAUUGGGAACUCUCACUUUGAAACUUUUACCGAUGCUGAAAUACAUAUGGAGUGGGAAUCCCAAUGAAAGCUUCAAGUUUCACAACCUCUGCAUAUUGAAAGUUUCUGAAUGCAAAUACCUUAAUCAUAUUUUCCCACUCCAUAUGGCUAAAGAGCUUCAGCAUCUCCAAGAGCUUUAUAUAGAAGAAUGUGGCAUAGAGAUUAUUGUAGCACAAGAUGAAAUGGCUGACACAGUUCCAAUACUUAUUUUCCCAGAAUUAACAUCUUUGAGUUUGCGAGAUUUGACACAUCUUCGAAGCUUCUACCAUGGAUUUCAUACCUUGGAUUGUCCUGUCUUAAGAGAUUUGGAUGUGCUUCAUUGUGACAAGCUUGAACUAUUCACAGUAACAUCUCUUAAUUGCCGAGACAAUGUCGUAGUUGAUAUGCUACCGCUUCUCUCAAUUGAAAAGGUUGUCUCCAACACAAAGGAGCUUAUUCUGAAUAGCAAGGAUGUCACCAUGUUAUGUAAUGGUCAACUUAAUGAUGAGACUAUCUACACGGUAAAAGAUCUUCGCCUACGAUGUUUUCAUGAUGAGUCUGACAAAUUUCCAUCAGGUUUCCUCCAAAGGUUUAUUAAUCUCGAAAACCUUAAGGUGACAUGUAGCUCCUUCACAGAGAUUUUCAGUGGAUAUGUUUGCACAGGACAUUAUGAAACAUCUAUUAAGUUGAGAAGUUUAGUACUUGUUAACUUGCACAACCUCAAGUUUAUAUGUGAAGAGAAAUCAGAGGUGCAACCAAUUCUUCGAUAUAUUGAAAACUUGGUUGUACAUAGAUGUUCUAGACUCAAUAAUGUAAUUCCAUCCUCAGUGCUGUUUGAGAAUUUAGAACAGUUGGAGGUGGGCAAUUGUGCUGGAUUGGAAAAUAUUGUGAAAUCAUCAACAGCGACUAGUUUACAAAAACUUAAAAAAUUAUGCAUAGAUGGUUGUGAUAGGUUAGAAGAAAUAGUAGCAAGUAAUGACGACAAUGAUGCUUCUGAGCUAGCUUUUAUGAAAUUGGAGUAUUUGCGACUGAGUAAUUUAUCAAGCCUAAGAAGUUUUUGCAAGGGAAGACAUGGCUUCAGAUUUCCACUAAUGGAGAAGUUAUUUGUGAUCGAUUGUCCCAUGAUGGAAACUUUCUCACAUGGAGUGUUGAACGCAACAAAGCUUAGAGCAGUACAUGUAAAGGAACAAGAUGAUUGGCAUUGGAACGGCGACCUUAAUACUACAAUAAGAAAAUUUGUAGCUAAAAUGAACACUAAGGAUGAUUGAGUUUGUCCUCAAAAUUUGAAUGAAGGCCCAAGUAGGGUACAUAGAGUAUCACACGGAACAUGCUCCUUCCCGAUGUUGAAUCAAUAUCAAUACUUUUCUUUGGCAUUGAAUGCAUUAAUGAAGAGAAAUCCUUCAAAAGGUUUAACUGAUCAAGGAAUGCUUAAAAGUGUCAAAGAGUAUAAAAUAUAAGCUCUAGGAGAUUCACUAGGCGAUCAAAUGACAAAGCAAUGAGACAAAUCAAAAAGGUUGAGAUUUGGCACAACACAAAUUUGCCUAGCGAAUUCAAGUCAAGUUGAAGGCAUGUCGCUGAGCAGCUGGCAAUUGCUUCAUAGUGAGGGAAAUUCAAAUUCACUUGGUGAAUUGUUAUUUUCGCUUAGCAAAAUAUGCUUUAUCAGAUUUAAUAUUUUGAAGCACUCAUAACAUAAAACCAUGACAUUCUUACGUUAGAUAGAAAACAGGGAGAAAAAUACUAGGAAACAUAGAGUGAUCAAGGGAAAACACAGGAAUCAAUUUCAUCAUCUUUUCAUCUUUUUUAGUUAUUCUCUCUGAUAUUGGAAUUAUGUUUAGUUGGCUAUGAUUCUCUUGUAAACUUUUAAUCUCUAAUUGCUUAUAUAUAAUUUCUAUUACG